rnacentral:rRNA from 1 species
GAUCCGGCUCAGGAUGAACGCUGGCGGCGUGCUUAACACAUGCAAGUCGAGCGAAGCACUUUGGAAAGAUUCUUCGGAUGAUUUCCUUUGUGACUGAGCGGCGGACGGGUGAGUAACGCGUGGGUAACCUGCCUCAUACAGGGGGAUAACAGUUAGAAAUGACUGCUAAUACCGCAUAAGACCACGGUACCGCAUGGUACAGUGGUAAAAACUCCGGUGGUAUGAGAUGGACCCGCGUCUGAUUAGG